UUGAUUCUUCGGAGGAUUUAAUGGGCGUCGAGCGGCGGACGGGUGAGUAAUGCCUAGGAAAUUGCCUUGAUGUGGGGGAUAACCAUUGGAAACGAUGGCUAAUACCGCAUAAUGCCUACGGGCCAAAGAGGGGGAUCUUCGGACCUCUCGCGUCAAGAUAUGCCUAGGUGGGAUUAGCUAGUUGAUGAGGUAAUGGCUCACCAAGGCGACGAUCCCUAGCUGGUCUGAGAGGAUGAUCAGCCACACUGGAACUGAGACACGGUCCAGACUCCUACGGGAGGCAGCAGUGGGGAAUAUUGCACAAUGGGCGAAAGCCUGAUGCAGCCAUGCCGCGUGUAUGAAGAAGGCCUUCGGGUUGUAAAGUACUUUCAGUUGUGAGGAAGGGGGUAGUGUUAAUAGCGCUAUCUCUUGACGUUAGCAACAGAAGAAGCACCGGCUAACUCCGUGCCAGCAGCCGCG
rnacentral:rRNA from 1 species